rnacentral:rRNA from 1 species
GACAGAGGUGCCGAGCGUUAGGCGGAAUCACUGGGCUUAAAGCGUGUGUAGGCGGCCCGUUAAGUGCCUCGUGAAAUCCCCCCCGGCUCAACCGGGGAACUGCCGGGCAUACUGGCGGGCUUGGGCCACUCAGGGGCAGACGGAACAGGCGGUGGAGCGGUGAAAUGCGUAGAUAUCAGGAGGAACACCGGUGGCGAAGGCAGUUCUCUGGGCCGUAACUGACGCUGAGGAGCGAAAGCGUGGGGAGCGAACAGG